rnacentral:rRNA from 1 species
UACGGGGGGGGCAAGCGUUGUUCGGAAUUACUGGGCGUAAAGGGCUCGUAGGUGGCCAACUAAGUCGGACGUGAAAUCCCUCGGCUUAACCGGGGAACUGCGUCUGAUACUGGAUGGCUUGAGUUCGGGAGAGGGAUGCGGAAUUCCAGGUGUAGCGGUGAAAUGCGUAGAUAUCUGGAGGAACACCGGUGGCGAAGGCGGCAUCCUGGACCAAAUCUGACGCUGAGGAGCGAAAGCCAGGGGAGCAAACGGG